rnacentral:hammerhead_ribozyme from 1 species
AUCCAGCUGACGAGUCCCGAAUAGGAUGAAAGGCGCGCCUUGGAU